rnacentral:rRNA from 1 species
GAUGAACGCUGGCGGCGUGCCUAAUACAUGCAAGUAGAACGCUGAGGUAGGAGCUUGCUUCUCUGGAUGAGUUGCGCACGGGGGAGUAACGCGUAGGGAACAUGCCUGGUAGAGGGGGAGAACUAUUGGGAAAGAUAGGUAAUACAGCAUAAAAGUUAAUGUUGCGUGACAUUUGAUUAAAAGGGGCAAUUUCGUCACUACCAGAUGGAGGUGCGUUGUAUUAGUUUGUUGGUGGGGUAAGGGCUCAACAAGGAGACGAUACAUAGCAGACCUUAGAGGGUGGAACGGCCAACUGGGACCGAGACAAGGCCCAACACUCUACGGGGGGCAGACGUAGGGAAUUUUCGGCAAUGGACGGAAGUCUGACCGGGGCACGCCGCGGGAAUGAAGAAGGUUCUCGGAUCGUAAAACUCUUUUGUAAGAGAAGAAAGAAAGGGAGAAUUAAAAGUUCACACUGUGACGGUACCUAACCAGAAAGCCACGGCUAACUACGUG